rnacentral:rRNA from 1 species
UACGAGGGGGGGCGAGCGUUGUUCGGAAUUAUUGGGCGUAAAGGGUGCGUAGGCGGUUUGGUAAGUCUUGUGUGAAAUCUCCAGGCUCAACUUGGAGUCUGCACGAGAAACUGCCGGGCUUGAGUGUGGGAGAGGUGAGUGGAAUUCCUGGUGUAGCGGUGAAAUGCGUAGAUAUCAGGAGGAACACCUGUGGCGAAGGCGGCGAUCUGGGUCGAUACUGACGCUGAGGUGCGAAAGCGUGGGGAGCAAACAGG